GGCCCAAACAAGAAACGACCAAGACCACCCUGUCGUCCAGCUAGGGUUUGCUCAGCUCCCACCCCACCGGCAAAAUCUUUCCCGCCAUUUCGUUCGCCCACUUCCCGCCACCUCUCCUCGAUCUGCUCCCAAAUCCCUCGCCUUUCUCCUCCGAUCCCCAUCCCGCUGAAUCGCCGCCCCCACCCCCCGACUGCCCCCGACUGCCUAGCGAACGAGCGAGCGGCGGCGAUGGAGGAGGAGAUCCGUGCGGAGCUCGAGCGCAGCGGCUUCUCCCUCGGCGGCGCCAGCCCCGCGGACGCCGCCCAGAUCCUCGCCACACUGCUGACCUACUGCAUCAACUACAAGAUGAGCCCGGCGGACCUCGUCUCCAACUGGGAGGUCUACUACCUCAAUAGGCAAUUGGAUGGCCUAAAGCUUGAAAGCUCGUAUCUGGAUGGUUUUCUUUCACAUCUGCAAAAUGAAGUAAAAGACAGGCUCAUAAAAGAAGAGGCGAACCUUCACAUUUACUCCAGUAACGAUGUUGACAUGCUCUUGAGCAGUACACACACAGAUGAAGAGGGAUUCCUAGACACACCAGGCACUAAACAGGAAAAGCCACAUGGAGAGUCAUCUAACUCUGUGUUAACCCCUCUAGCAACCGAUAAACCAUCAUCCAGCAGAAUGGCCAAAACAAAUGGUGAUCGUAUUACCCCUUUCGCGACACGGGUAAAUAAAUUUACUCAACAGUACAUUCUGCAUGCUGAUAAUGUGGCUAGUGUGCCAAAUAAACUUGAGGUUGGGACCACUGAAGAUGAAGUAAUUAGAAGAAUUCAACCAAGCCAAAGAUGUUCCUUGCAAGUUCAACGCUCGCAGCCUGAACCAGGUUGUAGGUUCAUGUAUGACAGAAUGGAAGACAGAUUUAAUUACUUGGAAGAUCGGAUAAGAAAGUUGGCAAGCUUGUUUUCUGCAUCUGGCUUUUGUGGAGAACCUGCUGAUGCUACCCUUGCUUCAGAGGAGAAAAUGUUUGCAGUUGGCAUGGUGGUCUGUGAUGGGGAAGGUCGUUUGAAUGAAAAAUCUAUCUUGUUACAGGGCAGUGUUGUGCAUUCCAGGGGACAGCGUGUGCGCCUUGACUUGAAGGAUCUUGAUCACUUCUCUUUGUUUCCUGGGCAGGUGGUGGGUAUUGAAGGCCACAAUCCUAGUGGACACUGUUUUGUUGCAUCAAAGUUGAUCGAUUCCAUACCGAUCUCUGUGGAUGCUCAACUGCCUAGUGCUAAGAAACAAGCUGUUGACAGUGAAAGCCACCAAAAUUCUGACACAGACACUCUAUCAGGAGUGCUGUCAUUGGUCAUCGCGGCAGGUCCCUAUACAACAACCGAUAAUCUGUUGUUUGAGCCGUUGCAAGAACUUCUUUCGUAUGCCUGUCGGAAGCUGCCUCAACUGCUCAUACUGAUGGGACCCUUUAUUGACUCUGAUCAUCCUGACAUAAAAAAGGGAACUGUUGACCAGAGCUUUCAUGAUAUUUUCCAUUUUGAAAUUCUGAGAAAGGUUCAAGACUUUACCCAGUAUUUGGGAAACACUGUUCGUGUUAUUCUUAUUCCAUCCGUGCGUGAUGCUCACCAUGACUUUGUUUUCCCUCAGCCUGCAUUUGACUUGAAUUUGCCAGAAGAUGCCACACACCAGAUUACUUGUCUGGCAAAUCCAAGUCUAUUCAGUUCUAACGAGAUACAUUUUGGCUGUUGUACAGUGGACAUCCUGAAACAGCUCAGUGGCGAGGAAAUUUCUCGCAAGCCACCUGGCGGAAAGCCUAGCGACAGGAUUGGGAGGCUCGCAACACACAUAUUGAAGCAACAGAGCUACUAUCCUCUAUAUCCUCCUGCUGCUGGUGUGCCAUUGGACUUCUCACUUGCUAAGGAAGCACUGGAUAUCUCAUCAGCUCCGGAUGUUCUCCUGCUUCCUUCCGAUCUUGCUCCAUUUGUGAAGGUGCUUCCCCUUGACGAAGGUAGUGAAGACCAGAAACGGUUUAUUUGUGUGAAUCCCGGGAGGUUGGCAAAGGGUAUCGGUGGAGGCACGUUUGUGGAGCUUUACUACAAUGAGAACACCGACAAGACGAAUGCCUCCAUUAUCCGCAUAUAGUUUUACUGCCGCAGCGUAUCACCUAACAUUAGAAGACCCUGUGAUUCAUCCGCUGUUGACAAUUAACCAGAGGCUUCUGCUCUUGUGUACCACACCACUAGCCACCCAAAAAGGAAGGAUUGAGCUUUUCAGAUAUCUUUUGUGGGAUGCUUCUAGGUGCAUUACUCUUUGUGUGACGCUGCCUUGUUUGAUCUGAGAAUGACCUCUUCAUUUAUCUAUAAAGAGUGUUGGUGCGUGACGAAAUGUGGAUCCAGCGUCGCGUCCACCAAUGUCACAUGUUCUCUGGAGUCUGGACCCACUUUUUUUGCCAGUUUUUUUGGCUUGUCUUCUAGCCGUCACAUUUCUGGUCUCAGGAAAAGGUCAUAUUGUGGCUUUCGUCAUAUGCAGACAACUUUGCAAACAUAUUGGCUUCCAUGUUUGCAGCGGAUAAGGAUUAUGUUGUGAGACACGGCUUUUAUUGGCAUUACCUGUUAGGCAAAAAGUUGCCUUGUAGUGGAUGCUUAGGCGGAGUUAGGUAUGAAACCCUACAGGACCACCAAUUCAUAUGCUCGUAAACUUGAAAUCAGUGCUCUGAUUGAGCCGUUCCUUCUGAAAUUUAUGCGUUCCAAAUAGACCCUUG